rnacentral:rRNA from 1 species
GAUGAACGCUGGCGGCGUGCCUAAUACAUGCAAGUCGUGCGAACGGGCGAGAAGCUUGCUUGUUUGAUGUUAGCGGCGGAGGGGUGAGUAACGCGUGGAUAAUCUACCUAUCAGACUGGGAUCACUUCGGGAAACCGUAGCUUAUACCGGAUGAUAUUUUGCAGCGUAUGGUUCAUUAGUGAAAGACGGCGUUUGUGUCUCUUAUCGCUGGAUCCGCGCUGGAUUAGCUAGUUGGUAAGGUUACGGCUUACCAAGGCAACGAUGCAUAGCCGACCUGAGAGGGUGAUCGGCCACACUGGAGCUGGAACACGGUCCAGACUCCUAAGGGAGGCAGCAGUAGGGAAUCUGCCGCAAUGGGCGGAAGCCUGACGGAGCAACCCCGCGUGAGUUAUGAAAGUCUUCCGAUCGUAAAACUCUGUUUUUAGGGAAAAACAGAUGUGUAAGUAACCGUGCACAUCUUGACGGUACCUAAUCAAAAAGCCACGGCUAACUACGUG